ACGCUCCGCCCUAAUGCGAAGAGGUCUGGGAAGUCGGUCUUCCAAGAGCAACAGAUUUCGUUAUAGCCCCCUUGCGGCUUGUGUCUGCUACCCUCCACCUUUCUGAUCCUGCUAUAAGGUUAUGCACUUGCUUCCGGAUCUUGAGGGGGACGAAGGCAGGGCAACAACAGGGAAGGAAAAAGGGGAUGACUGAGGGAUCUUUGUCUGAGGUACAGGCUCUAACCCUGCAGGACUCUUGUGGCCUGUAGCCUGCUCUUAACCCGUUCAUUUGUUUUUCUGUUCUUUCCUCGUACUCUCUUUACUCAGUAUCUCUCUGGACUUAAUGAAAGGAAGUAAUAAGAUGAAGUAUGCAUACGGGUGCUGGGUCAUCAUGUAUGAUGACCGAGAUAAUGAUACUAGAAAGCUUUCUGUAGGCACAUUUCGUCUUUGGUUCUGUCAGCACUUCGGUUCUGUGGGGCAAUGGCCAGAAGAGCUUCUUCGGGGCUUAACAAAACCUAUCUCCCCUUUCACUGGGCUCUGAAUAAGGAAGUUGUCUUUGGAAUAGGGGGAGGAGACUGCCACCUGUUGAGGCAACCCCAUAAUAGUCAUGAGGUGAGGGUAAGGUAUCAGCUUUACUGGCAUUAACCAUUAUCUACAAGACCAAGUUCCAGAAUAGGAAAGCUAUCCUGCUUCCUUUAAAUGCCCUAUCCAAGCGGUUCUUUAGUACUCUACAGCAUGGUUGUUAGAGUAUGGGCUCUAAAAUCAGACUGCCUGGGCUGGCAUCUUGGUCCCUCUACCUAUUGGCAAGUUACUUAGAAUGCCUGAGACAAGUAAUAAACAAUAUACAUUAUUGUUGUUAUUUUUUCUUUAAUUUGCUUAGGUUCAGCUGUAGUGUAGUUUCUCAGGACAUAGCAUCAAUAUAUCCAAAAGAAUUGUGAAACAUAAAGCACAUGUAGUGAUUCUAAUACAGAUGUCUUAUUUUUCAGAUGAGAAAACUAAGGCCAGAAAGAUAAACUGAUAGGUCCAUGCUAGAAGAGAAGUGCAGCUAUCCUGCUGUCCAGGUUAUUGCUCUUUCCCUGGCUCAUGGGUCCAGACUUCUCUCCCUUACAUCCUUACCUCCAUCCUCUACUCCUCCCCAACUUGUAUACAGUUGUUGCUCAGCCUCCUCCCCCUCCACCUUUCCACAAUAUCUUUCACCCAUUGUAAAAUAUGGAAGGGAGACCCUUUCAGAGGUCAGUGUUCCAAAUAGAAACCAAAACUCACAACUCCUUUUCUCAUUUUAAUUUUAUUAAAAGUUAUAAUGAAUAAAGAAUAACACUUUUUUCCAUUGAGCAAAGAUUAGAACCCUUUCCUAAGAUAAGGUCAGCCACAGCCUUAUCCAGGAAAAUUACUUGCUGGAAACAAUACUGGACCAAAUCAGCCCUGCUCCCACCCUGCCUUUCUUUGAAAAUAGCUUUUUUUUUUUUCUUUUUUUAAAGAGAUAUGAUCUUUCUGUGUCGCCCAGGCUGGAGUGCAGUGGCUAUUCACAGAUGUGAUCAUGCACACAACAGCCUCGAGCAACUGGGCUGAGGGCUGAAGCAAUCUUCCUACAUUAGCCUCCCCAGUAGUUGGGAUUACAGGCAUAGGCUGUGGCACCCAGCUAAUAACUAUUGUUUUAUAAAAACACUACGUGCUUGUGCAAACAAAUUGAAAAAUUUUAAACAAAAAUGCAAAGAAGUUAAAAUCUGUCCAAAUCCCAUAAUAUAGAGAUAACCAUUUCUUAAAUUUUGUGUUACAUUCUUCUAGGCAUCUCUCUAAGAAUAGAAGCACAUAUAGACAUAUAAAUACAAUAUUUCAUAAAUUGGAUUUUAUUAUCUGCACAGUGAACAACAGUCAUGAAAAACAUUAUUUUUAAAAGUUGCAUAGUGUCUGUUAGAUGGAUAUACCAUCAUUUAUCCAACCAGUAUUCUAUUGAUUGACAUUUAUGUUUCCAAGUUUUUACUAUCAUAAAAAAGUCUCUUAUGAACAUUCUUAUCCACAGGCUGUUGCACAAUUGUGCAAUUAUCUCCUUGGACACAUUCCUAGAAGUAACACUAAUGUCAGCCAAUUCUUUAACAUUUUCAAUUAGAGAAUAAAAGUUGUGGUUACUUUGAAAAAUAUACUUUAUAUGUGGGACUCAAAACUGACCAGAUUCUCCCAUUUGAAACAUAUUUGAAACACAGGUAAACCUGAGUAUUGUUGUUUUUCUUGUGUCUAGUGUUUAAUAAUGCAUGUUAAAGCUCCUUAGAGUAGGUCGGUAGACAUUACUGGUUGUCUAAACCAAUAUCCUUUCUUCUUUACUAGUAGAACUCUGAUUUCUUCAGGGUGACAGCAUGUCCAGUUAAAAAUAUUCAUGUUCCUAGACUUUCUUAAGUCAUGGCUGGCCAUGUGACUAUCAAUUAAAUAAAAGUGAAUUUCUGUAGAGGAGGCUCAAUAAAUAUUGCUUUAGCCAUUUGAUCUGUACCCACCCCUUUUAUUUUUUUGAACCUGAAACAGGGACAUGAUACUGGAUGUAGAGCAGACAUAUUUCACCCAUAAUAACAAAAGCCACACUGACACUAUUAAUAAUGUAGGACACCGGAGGUGCCUAGGUCCGUGGUUGCUUUGGAGGGCCAAACUGACCAGCUCUGGACUGUCCCACUUCUGGAUUUGUUGUUAGGAUUACUUGUUGGGGCCAGGUAGCUGUCAUGUCAGAGUCAUAAGGUCACUCAGGUAACUUAUAAAAAGGCUCACAUGGUGAGUAAUUAAGGCUUCCAGCUAACAAUCGGUGAGGUAUUGAGGCCUUCUGACAAUAGCCAUGUGAAUGAGCUUGGAAGCAGAUCCUCCAAUCCCAGUCAGGCCUUCAUAUGAUUGCAUGCAUCCUGGUCAACAUCUUGACUGUAACCUAGAAGGAGACCUUGAGACAUAAUCAUUCAGCUACGGUCCUGAAUUCCUAAGCCACAGAAAUGAGAAAUGAAGUGUGAAUCUUACUGAGAGCUAAACUUCGCCAGUUGUGGAAGUAACACGGUGAACAGAAUGGAAUCCUUGAAACUUGAAUUCUGCCCCCAGUUGUUUUUCCUCAAUCAAAAAUGUUUUAAAAAUUAAUGAGUUAACACAAAAUUAAACCAUGUCUCGAAACCAGCCAGCCAUCUUGUCUGCCAUCUCCAAGCAAAUUACAGAUUGACUUAUAAUACAAAUUUGCCCACAGGGCUUGCAAUACUAUUUCACAAGGUAGGCUGUAUUAUUUCUCUUCACAAAUGACCAGUCUGAUGCAUAGCACGUUUAGCUACAGAUGCCUCUGAUGACUUUCCCUGCAGCAUUUUCAUGGCUCACCAAUAGGUCUGUCUGCAUUUCUCAGGUCUACCAAGGGGGCGGUUCAAUUCUCCUUUGAUGUAAUCGAUCCAAAGAUCAGAAUCUACAGAUCUAAAUUCUCUCAAAGCCCUCUUUUGCAGGAUUCUUGCAUUCUUCCUUUUCAAACUGAAUCAUUUCCUGAAAAAGUCAACUGAAAAUGGAUGGCUCUCCUGUAAACUUUUAAACACACCUCUAGCCUUUUUGUAGCCACCACUUUGGUAAGCCCAGUCAAGGUACUUAUCCUUCAGUGCCCCCAGUUUUAUCACUGAUUAGCUGGAUGACCUGUAAUAAGUCACCUACCCCUUCUGAAUCUCAAUUUCCCUAUCCACUAACUGGGGAAAAUAAUACCAAUGUACUCCAAAAGGCAGUCAAUGAGAUUAUGUAUAAAUAUGCUUUAUAUAUACAGUAUUAGCAUUCUUUUAAUUAAAUUAGGCUGAUGAGGUCUACCUUAUGUUUAAGCAGUUAAGCAUUAAGUAUUUUACGUGAAUACCAUGGAGAUCUUUCUUUCAGGAAGUGACAACUUAUUUACUGAUUUUACUGUGUACUGUAUAAAAUAGUAGCAUCAUUCAUAACAAGCAGUUUGGAUUUAAGAGUAUGGCGGAAUGGUAGCUUAUAUGUCAGAUCUCAUUUUAUUAGCCUGUUGAAAAUUUAUUACUCUUUUAAAAGAAUGCAUAAUUAUCACUGGCUCCUUUUUCUUUUCAUGAAUUAAUUUGUAACUGUGGCUGAGUAUAUCUGCUCCUCUUUAUUGUAACAGAGGUACUUAAACAAACUUAAUAACAAACAUAUAUUUAACCGGUUAUUUGAGUUUAUGAGUUCAUCCUAGAGCAAAAUUGCAUCCAAUAGCAAGAAAAUAAAUGGCAGAAAACAAGUCUUUCUCUUUCAGAGGGCAGAGCUUAGGGCACACAGGGGAAGGCUUUAUAUACUGGAACAUCAAAGGUAGAGAUGAGGCAAUUAUAACAAUGCACAUUUUUGUGGCAUGACUAACCUGAGAGGUAAUAUAUGUUAGAAUGAGUAAGACAGAGCCUUAGUGUGAGAUUCAAGUCCUGAUUAUGUAGUGAAUGAAUGGUCCCUAGUUUAAUUGUAUUGUUGUUUCUUGUUUUCAGCUAUUCAACUGUGAGCCCAAAUCAGUUGAAACUACUGGCCUAAUUAGAUAUCAGACUAUUUGUUGUUGUGGAUGAUCCCUGAGUAAGAAAAAGAAGAAUUCUAGGGAGUUUACAGAGACGAAAGGGCCUGUGCGUCAUCAUCAAGAGGACCAACAUAUGUGUUAUGGGAAUUUUAGAUGACAAAGAGAGGGGCAGAACUAAUAUUUGAAAAAUUAUAGCCAGAAACUUCCAAAAUUUUAUUAAAUAUACUAACCUACAAAUCCAAGAAACUGAAUGAACUCCAAGUUGGAUAAACUCAAAAAGACCCACACUAAGACAUUCUAACCAACCCAUCAAAAGCCAAAGGUAGAGAAUCUUGAAAGCAGCAAACAAGAAAGAAGUAACUCAUCAUGUACAAGGAAUCCUCAUUAAAAUUAAAGGCCAGUUUCUUAUCAGAAAACGUGGAAGCCGGAAGACAGUGGAGUGACAUAUUUAAGUGGGUGGAAGAAAAUGAAACCUAUUAACUGAAAUUUUAUAUCUAGCAAAACUGUCCUUCAAAAUGAUGGAAAAGUUAGGAUAUAUUCUGAUAAACAAAAGCUGAGUCCAACAAGAAAUGCAAAGGAAGUCUUUCAAGUUGAAAUGAAAAGACACUAGCCAGUAAUUCAAAGCCAUGUGAGGAAAAUAAUGGCCUACAGUAAAAGUAGGGGAAAUAUAAAAACAAGUGCUAUUUAAUUUUUGUCUGUAACUCUACCAUUUAUUUUUAAUACGAUUUAACAUACACAUAUGUAAAAAUAAUAAAUCUCCUCUUGGGGACACAAUGUUAAAGAUGUAAAAAGACAUUAACAACAUAAAGGGGGAAGAUAAAGAUGUGCAGUAGUAUAGUUUUUAAAUGUUUUUGAAGUUAAGUUGGUAUCAAUUCAAAAUAUAUUACCUUAAAUUUAGGGCAUUAAAUGUAAUUGCUAUGGUAACCACAAAGAAAAUAUCUAAAAGAUCUAUAGGAAAUGAGAUAUAUAGGAAAAGAUAGAAAAGGAAAUAAGAAAAGAAUCAAAAUGGUUCACUACAAAAAAAUCAACUAAACAUAAAAGAAGGCAAUAAUGGAGAAAAUGAGAGAGGAAAAAAGUAUAAGACAUACAGAAAACAAGUAUCAAAAUGGCAGAAGUACUUCAUUAGGAGUACUAUUUUAAAUAUAAAUGGAUUAAACUAUUCACUCAGAGGCAGAGAUUGGCAGAAUGGAUAAAUGCUCUCUGUAAGAGAGUCACUUUAGAUUUAAAGACACAAAUAAGUAGAAAGUGAAAGAAUAGAAAAGAUAUUAUAUCCAAAUAGAACCAAAAGAGAGCUGAGGAGGCCAUACUAAUAUUAGGUAAAAAAACUUCAAGUCAAAACCUGUUAUAAUGACAAAGAAGGACAUUAUAUAUUGAUAUAUAGAUAAAUAUGUAUAUCAUCAAAAAGUUAUAAUCAUAAACAUAUAUGCACCAAACAACAGAGACCCAAAAUAUUUCAAGCAAAUAUUGACAGAAUUAAAGGGAAACAAAUAGUUGUACAAUAAUAGUUGGAGACUCCAAUAUCUUACUUUCAAAAAUGAAUAGAAUAUCUAGACAGAAGAUAAGUCACAAAAUAAAAGACUUGAAUAAGCCAACUAGACCAAACAUGAGUAUAUAGAACAUUUUACCCAAUAACAGCAGAAUACAUAUUUUUCUCAAGGGCACAUGGAAGAUGCUUUAGGAUAGAUUACAUGUUAAGCCACAAAACAAGUGAAUAAAUUUUAAAAAGUUGAAGUCAUAUACAGUAUCUUUUCUGACCAAGGAGAAUGAAGCUACAAAUCAAAAUCAAAGGAAAACUGCAAAAUCCACAAAUAUAUGGAAAUGAAACUACACACUACCAAACACUCAUUGGUCAAAGAAGAAACUACAAGAAAAAUUAGAAAAUAAUGAAAAUGAAAACAAACAUAUUAAAACAUAAGAUUUGUUUGUUUAU